UGAAGCCAGUGCAUUUUAGUUUUUCUGAGUUAUGAGCAGAAAUACUCAACACUGAACGUAACGGCUAUAUAUCAAAUUGAAGCUAUUGAAAAACGCUAUUUGGUGUAGAAAUUUCAAGACCUUGGCUAAAAGGGAAAUAUUGAAAAACUACAAACAUAAUUACCGAUAAUUUGCCGUUUUGCAGUUGUUUUUGUAUUUUUUAAAUGUUUUUCUUUUCGCUGAAGUCUUGAAAUUUCCACACCGAAUAGCACUUUUCAAUAGCUUUAAUUUAAUAUAUAGCCCGACAUUUGGGGUCAAGUAUUUCUGCUCAUAACUCAGAAAAACUAUUUUGGUUUCAUCAAAUCAUAGGCUUCAUCAUAGCAGUUAGCCUUCCAGUUUAUUUAUAGUUCAAUGGGCUACACCAUUGAACUAAAAAUAACUGGAACGCUACGUUCAGUAAACUGCGCAUGGAAAUUUUGAAGCCAAAAUUUGACUCCCAUGAAGCCAGUUUUGACUCCCAGACACGCACUUCCACGCGUGUUUCUACUGCGCGAUUUACUCGCGAGACAAUGCAGGGGGCGAUCGAAGCAUGCCGUUUUGAACGUUUUCAUGGCAAGAUGCGAAUCGAAAGGGAAACGGGCCUCUUAUUUUAAAACGGGCCUUUUAAAGCCUGUGUACGACCUUGUAUAAAUUAGCUUCAAACUUCCGCUUGAACGUAGCGUUCCAGUUAUUUUUAGUUCAAUGGGCUACACACACUGGCGCAGUCGUCAGAGCAAGCGCCUUUCACCUCUGAGACACAGAAUACUAACACCGCGGAAAAACGUCUGCGCAUGCGUCAACCUUACCUGUAAUAGUAUUGCGAACUUGAUGAGAAGCUGUGCCGAACGUUUCCGAAGGCUCAAAAUGGCGGUAAAAAGAAGUGACUUCAUUGUGCGUCUUUACAGCCAGAUUUCGAGCGCAAAAAUAAACAUGUCAUUUUAAAAACUAGGAAUAAAUACAGCCAGAAGGUUCAAGAAAUUGUAUUGUACAAGAACAUGAACUAAAGGUGAUUGUUGACAAAUUUAUCGUCUGAAACAUUUUGUUUAUCAACUAAGCAACGAUAAUUUUCGUUUGAGAUACAUUUCUUUAAAAAAAACUGUGUCGCCAAAUAUAAAAAAUUUUCGUGUUCACAAUAAUUAAACUUCAGG